UACGAGGGGUGCAAGCGUUGUUCGGAAUUACUGGGCGUAAAGUGUGCGCAGGCGGCCGAGCAAGUCGAGUGUGAAAGCCCCGGGCUUAACUUGGGAAUUGCGCUCGAAACUACUUGGCUCGAGUGUGGCAGAGGAAGGUGGAAUUCCACGUGUAGCGGUGAAAUGCGUAGAGAUGUGGAGGAACACCGAUGGCGAAGGCAGCCUUCUGGGCCAACACUGACGCUCAUGCACGAAAGCGUGGGGAGUAAACAGG
rnacentral:rRNA from 1 species